rnacentral:rRNA from 1 species
GACGAACGCUGGCGGCGUGCUUAACACAUGCAAGUCGAACGCUGAAGCUCAGCUUUUGUUGGGUGGAUGAGUGGCGAACGGGUGAGUAACACGUGAGUAACCUGCCCCCUUCUUUGGGAUAACGCCCGGAAACGGGUGCUAAUACUGGAUGUCCACUGGUCUUCGCAUGGGGGUUGGUGGAAAGGGUUUUUCUGGUGGGGGAUGGGCUCGCGGCCUAUCAGCUUGUUGGUGGGGUGAUGGCCUACCAAGGCUUUGACGGGUAGCCGGCCUGAGAGGGUGACCGGUCACAUUGGGACUGAGAUACGGCCCAGACUCCUACGGGAGGCAGCAGUGGGGAAUAUUGCACAAUGGGCGCAAGCCUGAUGCAGCGACGCCGCGUGAGGGAUGGAGGCCUUCGGGUUGUGAACCUCUUUCGCUCAUGGUCAAGCCGCAACAAUGGUUGUGGUGAGGGUAGUGGGUAAAGAAGCGCCGGCUAACUACGUG